rnacentral:rRNA from 1 species
CAGCCGCCGCGGUAAUACCGGCGGCCCGAGUGGCGGCCACUAUUAUUGGGCUUAAAGCGUCCGUAGCCGGGUUGGUUAGUCUCCCGGGAAAUCUGGCCGCUUAACGGUCAGAAUUCCGGGAGAUACUGCCAGCCUAGGGACCGGGAGAGGCCGAGGGUAUUCCCGGAGUAGGGGUGAAAUCCUAUAAUCCCGGGAGGACCACCUGUGGCGAAGGCGCUCGGCUGGAACGGGUCCGACGGUGAGGGACGAAGGCCAGGGGAGCAAACCGGAUUAGAUACCCGGGUAGUCCUGGCUGUAAAGGAUGCGGGCUAGGUGUCGGGUGAGCUUCGGGCUCGCCCGGUGCCGUAGGGAAGCCGUUAAGCCCGCCGCCUGGGGAGUACGGCCGCAAGGCUGAAACUUAAAGGAAUUGGCGG